GACGAACGCUGGCGGCGUGCCUAAUACAUGCAAGUCGAGCGGAGCGUCGGACGGGUGAGUAAUUCCUAUGAAUCUGCCUGGUAGUGGGUGUUAACGUCCGGAACCGGUCGCUAAUUUCGCAUACUAUCCGUUGACCCUAGGUCGGAUUGGCUAGUUGGUGGGGUAAAGGCCUACCAAGUCGACGAUCCGUAACUGGUCUGAGAGGAUGAUCAGGCACACUGGAACUGAGACACGGUCCAGGAGCCUACGGGAGGCGGCAGUGGGGAAGGUUGGAGAAUGGGCGAAGGCCUGAUCCAGCGAUGCCGCGUGUGUGAAGAAGGACUUAAGAUUGUAAAGCACUUUAAGUUGGGAGGCGUUCCCAACAGAUUAAGCACCGGCUAACUGCGUGCCAGCAGCCGCGGUAAUUC
rnacentral:rRNA from 1 species